AGAGACUCCCACCCAGCCAGCUGCCCAAGUCAGAAAGAGGCUUGAGAUUCGCGCUGCCUCCUCCUCUCUCACCACCACCAUCCGUGUUCCUCAGGACCUGUCAUCGCAGUGCACACAGCCAGGCCUCUGUGAGACUGUUUCACAGAUGCUCAAGACAUCAGCAAACCAGUGCCACCAAACAAGUAUGAGAAAAGAACAGGCUAGAUUAUGUUAUCCAGAACUUCGCAACCAUCAGAUCUAGACAGAAGGACCCACUGUCGACUGCAGGAGGUGCACAGUGAACACAGAAAAGCUGUAAGGUGUCCUGUGACAGAUGUAUGUGGUGGACACAGCAGGACCCAGAGGAAGGAAGAAAGAAGCUGCUCUUGAAAAGACCCUCAAACCACGAUGCUCAAGGAAGUGUUGAGAGAUGAAGAAGAGGUGUUUGCCAGGCAGACCAGGUGGGGAAGGAUAAU